rnacentral:tRNA from 2 species
GGAGGAUUAGCUCAGCUGGGAGAGCACCUGCCUUACAAGCAGGGGGUCGACGGUUCGAUCCCGUCAUCCUCCACCA